GACGAACCGUCCGAACGUUAUUCGGAAUUACUGGGCUUAAAGGGUGCGUAGGCUGCGCAGAAAGUUGGGUGUGAAAUCCCUCGGCUCAACCGAGGAACUGCGCCCAAUACUACUGUGCUCGAGGGAGACAGAGGUGAGCGGAACUUAGGGUGGAGCGGUGAAAUGCGUUGAUAUCCUAAGGAACACCCGUGGCGAAAGCGGCUCACUGGGUCUCUUCUGACGCUGAGGCACGAAAGCUAGGGUAGCGAACGGG
rnacentral:rRNA from 1 species